rfam:Ornithorhynchus anatinus chromosome 4, whole genome shotgun sequence.
AGCAGAGUGGCUCGGCGGAAAGAGCCCGGACUUGGGAGUCAGAGGUCAUGGGUUCAAAUCCCGGCUCUGCCA